AACGCACAUUGCGCCCUUUGGUAUUCCGAAGGGCAUGCCUGUUCGAGCGUCAUUUCACCACUCAAGCCUGGCUUGGUAUUGGGCGUCGCGGUUAUUCGCGCGCCUUAAAGUCUUCCGGCUGAGCUGUCCGUCUCUAAGCGUUGUGGAUUUUUCAAUUCGCUUCGGAGUGCGGAUGGCCGCGGCCGUUAAAUCUUUAUUCAAAGGUUGACCUCGGAUCAGGUAGGGAUACCCGCUGAACUUAA
rnacentral:misc_RNA from 1 species